UUUUUAUGAUGACUUCUAUCAGUUCUGCUACUGAGUAUCUUUGACGAUAAAAAAAAAUACCAAAAAAAACACUGAUAA